rnacentral:lncRNA from 1 species
AGAGAGACACAGAGCGAGACAGAGAGAGAAUAUUGCAUGUUAGUUAUUCUCUCUGUCUCUCUCUGUCUCUCUGACUCUGUCUCUGACUCUGUCUCUGUCUGUCUGUCUGUCUGUCUGUCUGUCUCUCUCUCUCUCUCUCUCUCACACACACACACACACAAACAAACACAGACACACACCAGAUGAGCCCUGUGUCUUCUAAACCGUGUCUCCCGGCAUAUUAAAGGGAGGGAGUAGACAAGGACAAAGAUCAGCAGAAACAACAGGGUUGGUAAGGUGGGAGAGACAGAAACCAACCACUAAAGAGCAGCUCCUUGACAACCUCCAAAUCACAAUGAGGAGAAACUUCCUGGCUCACAUUUUCCACAUAAACACUAGAGUGCUGGGCAGUGUUAACGGCUCCUGCCUAAUGCACGAGAGAACGACCUCUGUCCAAAGCCAGCAGCGAUUGACGUCACAGACAGAGCGUCUCGGAGACUCGCCGGAAGAAUCAGAAUCAUACUAAUGAAAUCCUCAUCUCCUGCUUUUAUCUGUCUACAAAAUGAAGUUAAGAGCGAUGCUGGUUAGUUUUACCUGUCAAAUUGACACAGCCUAUAAUCUCCUGGAAUGAGUUUUUUUCUUGUUAAUAAUGUGUUUAUUGUUUGAGAAUUUUAUGCAUGAAUAUGAUGUGUUUUGGUCAAAUCCACACUCCCAUUCCCUCUUCUCUGUUCCUCUCACUUCCCUUCCAUCACCCAUUAGAACUUCACGCCCUCUACUUUUUAUAGCCACCGAAUCUACUUCAUGCUUCCUGUAUGUGCACGUGUGGAGAACGAUCUACUAAAGCGUGGGUUUCUUCUCAGGAUGGGCAUCCUGGAAGAAAAUUGAUUCUCCCUUCCCUAGUGGCCACCAGUUAUCACGAGCCCCUUGCCAGCCUACAUUGGAUUUUUGCUGCUGUGAUCUUAUGUAUGUCGUGUACAUGCAUCUGCAGUCACGGUGAGUUCUAGUGUGCAGCUGUGCAGUCAUGGCUAACAAAAACGUUGUCACUAAAAAUGCCCA